GAUGAAGAACGCAGCGAAAUGCGAUAAGUAAUGUGAAUUGCAGAAUUCAGUGAAUCAUCGAAUCUUUGAACGCACAUUGCGCCCGCCGGUAUUCCGGCGGGCAUGCCUGUUCGAGCGUCAUUUCAACCAUCAAGCCCUGGGCUUGUGUUGGGGACCUGCGGCUGCCGCAGGCCCUGAAAUGCAGUGGCGGGCUCGCAAGACACACCGAGCGUAGUAGCUUACAACCUCGCUUUGGGAGUGCUGCGGGUGCUGGCCGUAAAGCGACCUUUUGCGUCUUUAGCACUAGGUUGACCUCGGAUCAGGUAGGAGGACCCGCUGAACUUAAGCAUAUCAAUAAGCGGAGGA
rnacentral:misc_RNA from 1 species